rnacentral:ncRNA from 2 species
UGCCUGCACAGGUUGAAGUCAGGGGAAACUCUGAUGGAGGACCGUACGGGUUAUGGAUGUGCAAAUCAUUUUUCUGAUGUAGGUAAAGGUGCGAAAGACUCAUCGAACCACCUAAUAGCUGGUUUCCUCCGAAGUUUCCCUCAGGAUAGCUGUAAUGCAUUUAGUUAAGGGGAGUAGAGAUAUGGGUAGAGGUGCAGGGAGCCUUCGGGUUCUCAACUUAUUUCCAAACUUCGAACCUCCUUGUUAGGCAUUUACCUAACUGGAAAUGCUUAAAUGAAUUAGCGUUACAAGUGGGCUCUGACCGGUAAGCGGUCAUGGCGAAAUGGGAUGAACCAUACGUCUGAAUAAGGUGCCGAAAUGUACUAUCACUGAUACCAUAAAGGGAGUCCAUGUAUUUAGACAGCAGGUCGGUGCCCCUAAAAGCAGGUAUCCGCUAAAGAGUGUGUUAAAACUCACCUGCCGAAUACUAGGGCCCCGAAAAUGAAUGGCGCAUAUAGUACUACCGAUCUCAGACAUCAGUUCUAUUGAACUGAGAGUAGGGGGAUGUGGACAUUUUUGUGAAGGUGCAAUGUGAGUUGGACUGGAAGAAUGUCUAUUACAGAUCCUAAUUGAAGUAGCGAUUAUCCAGGCUUGUAUCCUGGGGGCUGAUGAGGAGUAGGGUUUCUGGACAACUUAAACAGAUCCAGAGUUAGUCGAUCCUAAUCUCAAUAAUGGGAGAAAGGGAGUACAGUUGAUAUUCUGUAACUGACAACAGUUCGCGGCAACGCAUACUAUUUUUCUCCGCCAAUCUUAUACCGUUGGUAGGGAUCUCUUUCCUACAUGACAGUACUAAUACCCAGGGAAACUGGUCAUCAGGCGAACUGCGGCGUUCUGCUGGCAAAACAUAGCUUCGGUUAUGUCAAUGGCUAUUGGAUUGGUCCAUGAAGCGAAAAAUAGUUUACUGUGUCACUCGUACCGAUAACCGCAUCAGGUCUUCUAGGUAAGUAGCCUAUGGCC